GACGAACGCUGGCGGCGUGCUUAACACAUGCAAGUCGAGCGGUAAGGCCCUUUCGGGGGUACACGAGCGGCGAACGGGUGAGUAACACGUGGGUGACCUGCCCUCAGCUCUGGGAUAAGCCUGGGAAACUGGGUCUAAUACCGGAUAUGACUCCAUGACGCAUGUUGUGGGGUGGAAAGCCUUGUGCGGCUGAGGAUGGGCCCGCGGCCUAUCAGCUUGUUGGUGGGGUGAUGGCCUACCAAGGCGACGACGGGUAGCCGGCCUGAGAGGGCGACCGGCCACACUGGGACUGAGACACGGCCCAGACUCCUACGGGAGGCAGCAGUGGGGAAUCUUGCGCAAUGGGCGAAAGCCUGACGCAGCGACGCCGCGUGAGGGA
rnacentral:rRNA from 1 species